rnacentral:rRNA from 1 species
AGGGGAUCGAAAGACCUUAUGCUUUAAGAGCGGCCGAUGUCUGAUUAGCUAGUUGGUAAGGUAAUGGCUUACCAAGGCGACGAUCAGUAGUUGGUCUGAGAGGACGACCAGCCACACUGGGACUGAGACACGGCCCAGACUCCUACGGGAGGCAGCAGUGGGGAAUUUUGGACAAUGGGCGCAAGCCUGAUCCAGCAAUGCCGCGUGAGUGAAGAAGGCCUUCGGGUUGUAAAGCUCUUUCAGUCGAGAAGAAAAAAUUGUGACUAAUAAUCAUAAUUGAUGACGGUAUCGACAGAAGAAGCACCGGCUAACUACGUGCCAGCAGCCGCGGUAAUACGUAGGGUGCGAGCGUUAAUCGGAAUUACUGGGCGUAAAGGGUGCGCAGGCGGUUUUGUAAGUCAGAUGUGAAAUCCCCGGGCUUAACCUGGGAAUUGCGUUUGAAACUACA